rnacentral:lncRNA from 1 species
GCAGCUGCCGGACACCAGGAGACGAUGGAAGGUCUAUAGUGUUACAGCUCUGACCCAGGAAGUCCCAGGGUCUUGCCUUCCAGAAGGGUCGCGGCUCUUCCCUCCCUCAGUCCAACGAACAGGAGCACGUCACCUCCCGCAGCUCGGGGAGCUGGCCAGGAACGUGUUACAGCCCGUUUCGCUCCUGUCCGCAGCUGGGUGAGGCAGCCAGGAAAAUAUUACAGCUCUUCUCACGCCCGCCAUUCAGCAGGUCCUGACUUCUUGUGUGACAUCCAGAAGAAAGGGGUUACACAGACAGCUGGAGGGUGAGCAAAGUGGAGAAGUUCUCAGCAGAGAGGAGACUGGAGUGAGUUGCCCCUACCCGCAGGUGCCAACUGUAAUACAUCAGUAGCUGAACAGCUCAUUGCCCUCAAGUGUUCUUGCUCAUGCCUGGCUGAGUUAUUGAAGAAAUUGCUCAGAUCUCAAGCCCUUGUAGAUCACUGGUCCUGGCAGAUGUUGAAAGACAGCAUUCAAGGAACCACCUUGUACGCAGACACUGAAACCUCGCGAGACAACAAAACUGCUGACACCUUGAUCUUGGACUUCCCAGCCUCCAGAACUAUAAACCAGCAAAGAGUACAUAGAACAAACAUUUUUUUUAGAAGGAUUAAAUGGGACAAUUAAACAAUUUGAUCAGCAUAAUGUCCAGCUCAAGGAUCUUGGAGGUGGUGAGGCAGCCCAAGUGGAAAGGCAGCAGAAGGGGUAUCCUUGUUUUACCAAUUACUCAUAUGUAGGAGAUGGUGCAUUAAAUGAAAUAUUCUCUGCUCUCUCCUAACAUCUACCCCCUCACACCAAGAGGAAGGCAUGUCGCCUGAACCUUUGCAGUAUUCAAUUAAAGUUCUAUUCACACGGUAUUGCAGUUGUUUGCUUAUCUUUCUUUCUUAUUAGACUUAAAACUUCUGGAAACUAGAGGCUAUAUUACUUAUUUGCCUCAGAGUCCUGUUGGCCUAUCAAAUGGCACACCUUCAAUCCAAGAAUGAAUUAAUUAAAUAAAUGUGAAGAAAAAAAAAAUCCAAGUUGCUUAUUUUUGUUAAAUUUAUUUUUCCCCAAAAUAUUUACUGAGAAAAUGACUCUGGGAAGAUAGCAGAGUGGAAAGCCCCAGAAAUGUGUUUCCCCACCUAGACAACAACUGUACUGGCAGAAUCUGUUUGAUGUGACUAUUCUGAAGUUCUGAAUUGAAUAAAUAUGAAGAAAAUACAAA